rnacentral:sRNA from 1 species
CAGGAAAUUAACCAUUUAUUAAUGUUAAGAAUGUUCAAUGCUCUUCAUCCAGUUCGGCUGGAUUCUUACCGAGUGGUUCCGCCACUUUGUUUGACGCCUCCCUGUUAAACUCCGAGAGCCGCCUUUGCGGCUCUUUUUUU